rnacentral:tRNA from 1 species
UGUGGGAUAGAGCAGUGGUUAGCUCAUCUGGCUCAUAACCCGAAGGUCGCAGGUUCGAAUCCUGCUCCCGCUA